UAUUGUCCAUUCGUAUUGUAAGUAGCAGCAGCGUAAACGAGCAGUAACUUCUUCCGCGAGCACAACCCUCCGAAAAUUCUCAGAAGACUUCUUCUUUGCGCAGCCCACAGUGUCAAGCGUGGCGGCGGGUGGUCUGCUCAAAUAGAAAUAGGAGGAGGUGUCUGGUUUGAUCGAUCCACUAUAUCGUCGCUGGUCAAUACCGACGAUUCAUUACUUGUACGGAUCAAC
rnacentral:ribozyme from 1 species